rnacentral:misc_RNA from 1 species
AGCAACAAUAUCUGCAGGACCAUCAGAUAUAUUAUAAAAUAGUAUUUAAAAUCAGUUGUCAGCCACAUGUGGUCUAUAUGAUGCAACAUGUUUGCAAUUGUUGGCAUGUCAUUUAAAAAUAUCAAUGCUGAUAAAACUGAAUUUUUUUAAAAAAAGAGUUAUUCCAGCCUUCCAACCAAAUAUUAGAGACUUUUAAAAAAGCACUCUCACA